rnacentral:rRNA from 1 species
CCCAGACUCCUACGGGAGGCAGCAGUGGGGGAUAUUGCACAAUGGGGGAAACCCUGAUGCAGCGACGCCGCGUGGGUGAAGAAGCGCCUCGGCGCGUAAAGCUCUAUCAGCAGGGAAGAAAGAAAUGACGGUACCUGAAGAAGAAGCCCCGGCUAACUACGUGCCAGCAGCCGCGGUAAUACGUAGGGGGCAAGCGUUAUCCGGAUUUACUGGGUGUAAAGGGGGCGCAGACGGCGAUGCAAGCCAGGAGUGAAAGCCCGGGGCCCAACCCCGGGACUGCUCUUGGAACUGCGUGGCUGGAGUGCAGGAGGGGCAGGCGGAAUUCCUGGUGUAGCGGUGAAAUGCGUAGAUAUCAGGAGGAACACCGGUGGCGAAGGCGGCCUGCUGGACUGCAACUGACGUUGAGGCCCGAAAGCGUGGGGAGCAAACAGGAUUAGAUACCCGGGUA